GCUUGAAUUAUACAUAUUACUAGAGUCUGUAUGGUUGAUGGAACUUGUGUAGAUAGAAGGAUGCAAAAAGAAAAGAAUCGUGUCCAUUACAGCCAUGAAGAGCUGAACAGAGGUUGACAGACAGGGGUCAAGCACAUCCCACCAGUUCACAACGUUCCAGUGGACCGAGACUAGGCCUGGGUCAUUUUGUUUAAAUAUGUGAGAGAAGUAUUUUUAGUGAUGCAAUUACCGAAAAGAUUCGAGGAAGAUCUGAGCUACUCUAGAAACUUUUCAAGGAACUACCUGUACAAAAGAGUGAAAACGUGAACUGUAAAUCAAAAAGUUCAAUUUAUUAUAUUAAGUGGAAGGCAAACAUUAGGAAAAUAUAAAGAUAUUCUGGAUGUAAUAUCUGUACAUGUAUUAUGAUGUGUUUAAAAAAGGAAAUACACAGGAAUUAUAGAU
rnacentral:sRNA from 1 species